AUUGAACGCUGGCGGCAGGCUUAACACAUGCAAGUCGAGCGGAGAGAGGUAGCUUGCUACUGAUCUUAGCGGCGGACGGGUGAGUAAUGCUUAGGAAUCUGCCUAUUAGUGGGGGACAACAUUUCGAAAGGAAUGCUAAUACCGCAUACGUCCUACGGGAGAAAGCAGGGGAUCUUCGGACCUUGCGCUAAUAGAUGAGCCUAAGUCGGAUUAGCUGAGUUGGUGGGGUAAAGGCCUACCAAGGCGACGAUCUGUAGCGGGUCGGAGAGGAUGAUCGGCCACUCUGGGACUGAGACACGGCCGAGACUCCUACGGGAGGCAGCAGUGGUGAAUAUUGGCCAAUGGGGGCAAGACUGGUCCAGCCAUGCGGGGUGUGAGAAGUAGGCCUUAUGGUUGUAAGGCACUGUAAGCGAGGAGGAGGCUACGUUAGUUAAUACCUUGAGAUAGUGGACGUUACUCGAAGAAUAAGCACCGACUAACGCUGUGCCAGAAGCCGCCGUAACAC
rnacentral:rRNA from 1 species